GUCUACAGCCAUACCACCCCGAACGCGCCCGAUCUCCUCUGAUCUCGGAAGCUAAACAGGGUCGGGCCUGGUUAGUACUUGGAUGGGAGAAAUAAACAACAUAAAAAAGGACAAUGGCCA
rnacentral:rRNA from 1 species